AGUGAACGCUGGCGGUAGGCCUAACACAUGCAAGUCGAACGGCAGCACAGUAAGAGCUUGCUCUUACGGGUUGCGAGUGGCGUACGGGUGAGGAAUACAUCGGAAUCUACUUUUUCGUGGGGGAUAACGUAGGUAAACUUACUCUAAUACCGCAUACGACCUACGGUUGAAAGCAGGGGAUCUUCGGGCCUUGCGCGAUUGAAUGAGCCGAUGUCGGAUUAGCUAGUUGGCGGGGUAAAUGCCCACCAAUGCGACGGUCCGUAGCUGGUCUGAGAGGAUGAUCAGCCACACUGGAACUGAGAGACGACCCAGACUCCUACGGGAGGCAGCAGUGGGGAAUAGUGGACAAUGGGCGCAAGCCUGAUCCAGCCAUACCGCGUGGGUGCAGCAGGCCUUCGGGUUGUAAAGCCCUUUUGUUGGGAAAGAACAGCAGCAGGUUAAUCCAACGCUGUUCUGACGGUACCCAAAGAAUAAGAACCGGCUAACUUCGU
rnacentral:rRNA from 1 species